AUACGGGGGGUGCAAGCGUUAUUCGGAUUUAUUAGGUUUAAAGGGUGUGUAGGCGGGAGCCUAAGUCAGUGGUGAAAUCUCACAGCUUAACUGUGAAACUGCCAUUGAAACUGGGUUUCUUGAGUAUAGUUGAGGUAGGCGGAAUGUGUAAUGUAGCGGUGAAAUGCAUAGAUAUUACACAGAACACCGAUUGCGAAGGCAGCUUACUAAGCUAUUACUGACGGUGAUGCACGAAAGCGUGGGUAGCGAACAGGAUUAGAAACCCCAGUAGUCC
rnacentral:rRNA from 1 species